CGGACGGGUGAGUAACGCGUGAGAAUCUGCCCUCAGGAGGGGGAUAACGGCUGGAAACGGCCGCUAAUACCCCAUGUGCCGCGAGGUGAAAUGAGAAAUCGCCUGAGGAUGAGCUCGCGUCUGAUUAGCUAGUUGGUGGGGUAAGAGCCUACCAAGGCAUCGAUCAGUAGCUGGUCUGAGAGGAUGAUCAGCCACACUGGGACUGAGACACGGCCCAGACUCCUACGGGAGGCAGCAGUGGGGAAUUUUCCGCAAUGGGCGCAAGCCUGACGGAGCAACGCCGCGUGAGGGAUGAAGGCCUCUGGGCUGUAAACCUCUUUUCUCAAGGAAGAAGAACUGACGGUACUUGAGGAAUAAGCCACGGCUAAUUCCGUGCCAGCAGCCGCGGUAAUACGGGAGUGGCAAGCGUUAUCCGGAAUUAUUGGGCGUAAAGCGUCCGCAGGCGGUCUUGAAAGUCUGUUGUUAAAGCGUGGAGCUCAACUCCAUUUCAGCAAUGGAAACUAGAAGACUAGAGUGUGGUAGGGGCAGAGGGAAUUCCCGGUGUAGCGGUGAAAUGCGUAGAUAUCGGGAAGAACACCAGUGGCGAAGGCGCUCUGCUGGGCCAUAACUGACGCUCAUGGACGAAAGCCAGGGGAGCGAAAGGGAUUAGAUACCCCUGUAGUCCUGGCCGUAAACGAUGAACACUAGGUGUCGGGGGAAUCGACCCCCUCGGUGUCGUAGCCAACGCGUUAAGUGUUCCGCCUGGGGAGUACGCACGCAAGUGUGAAACUCAAAGGAAUUGACGGGGGCCCGCACAAGCGGUGGAGUAUGUGGUUUAAUUCGAUGCAACGCGAAGAACCUUACCAGGGUUUGACAUCCUGCGAAUCUUUUGGAAACAGAAGAGUGCCUUCGGGAGCGCAGAGACAGGUGGUGCAUGGCUGUCGUCAGCUCGUGUCGUGAGAUGUUGGGUUAAGUCCCGCAACGAGCGCAACCCACGUCUUUAGUUGCCAGCAUUAAGUUGGGCACUCUAGAGAGACCGCCGGUGAUAAACCGGAGGAAGGUGUGGAUGACGUCAAGUCAUCAUGCCCCUUACAUCCUGGGCUACACACGUACUACAAUGCUACGGACAGAGGGCAGCAAACUCGCGAGAGCUAGCAAAUCCCAUAAACCGUGGCUCAGUUCAGAUCGUAGGCUGCAACUCGCCUACGUGAAGGAGGAAUCGCUAGUAAUCGCAGGUCAGCAUACUGCGGUGAAUACGUUCCCGGGCCUUGUACACACCGCCCGUCACACCAUGGAAGUUGGCCAUGCCCGAAGUCGUUACUCCAACCCUUGUGGAGGAGGACGCCGAAGGUGGGGCUGAUGACUGGGGUGAAGUCGUAACAAGGUAACCGUA
rnacentral:rRNA from 1 species